UACGGAGGGUGCAAGCGUUAUCCGGAUUUACUGGGUUUAAAGGGUGCGUAGGCGGAUAGGUAAGUCAGGGGUGAAAUCUUCGAGCUUAACUCGGAAAUUGCCUUUGAUACUAUCUAUCUUGAAUAUUGUGGAGGUAAGCGGAAUAUGUCAUGUAGCGGUGAAAUGUUUAGAUAUGACAUAGAACACCUAUUGCGAAGGCAGCUUACUACGCAUAUAUUGACGCUGAGGCACGAAAAGCGUGGGGGAUCAAAACAGG
rnacentral:rRNA from 1 species